rnacentral:rRNA from 1 species
CAGCAGCCGCGGGAAAACGGAGGGUGCAAGCGUUAAUCGGAAUUACUGGGCGUAAAGCGCACGCAGGCGGUCUGACAAGUCAGAUGUGAAAUCCCCGGGCUUAACCUGGGAACUGCAUUUGAAACUGUCAGGCUGGAGUCUUGUAGAGGGGGGUGGAAUUCCAGGUGUAGCGGUGAAAUGCGUAGAGAUCUGGAGGAAUACCGGUGGCGAAGGCGGCCCCCUGGACAAAGACUGACGCUCAGGUGCGAAAGCGUGGGGAGCAAACAGGAUUAGAGACCCCGGUAGUCCCUGUCUCUUAUAA